rnacentral:rRNA from 1 species
AACGAUAGGGUCAAGUGUUAUUCGUCAUGACUGGGCGUAAAGCGCGCGCGGGCAGGUGAUUAAGUUCUAGGUGAAAGACCAGAGUUAGACUUUGGAAUGGCCUUUAAUACUGAUCAUCUUUGAGUUAGAAAUGGGAUAGUGGUACUAAUAAUUUAGAGGUGAAAUUCGUAGAGAUUAUUAGGACCAUCGGUGGCGGAGGCGACUAUCUAGGUCUAUACUGACGUUUAAGCGCUAAAGCAUGGGGAGCGAACAGG